rnacentral:lncRNA from 1 species
CUGAACACUCUUCUGAAUGAACCUGGCAGUCCAACUUUACAACCCAAAACCUCCAACUUCACGUAAGAUGCAAAUUAAUUUCACAGACUUGGCUUCAUGUGUCCUUGCAUUUUACCUUUAUUGAAGCUACGUAACGUUACAAAUACCAAAAAAAAAAAAGUGGGUUAAAUUCCCUAAAUGAAACCUAUUAUUUGUCUUGUAGGAGCACUUCAAACCAGAUUAAUGGCAGGAUGGGAUACAGCUUCCAGAAUGGAGAUGUCAUACAACCAGUCAGCUUCCUCAAUGAGCUACGUCUACCAACCACUACAACAGUGUUUCCAGUCACAACAACCAGUGUUUCUGUUACUACUCCAAAACUCAUGUAAAUUUUGGUUUUCUAUUUUAAGAAAAUUAAAAAAUGCAAAAGUAAUGUUUUUAUGGCAAAUAUAUUGAUGUAAAUUAAAUAAAAGUGUUUAUAUUUACAGAUCUGGUUCAGCUGUGGUCACAGGCAAGCUGGUGUUCAACUCCUCAUCUCCAGUGCCCAGUGAAUCUCUGGUCCUCAGUGCUAUCAAUACUCUCCGUCAUUCCAGAGAGUCACAGCUCAAUGAAUCGGUGAAGAUAGUGAAUGUCACCUAUGAGAGUAAGUGUCAUCAUUUUCACUUCAAAAUUUGAACCCAGACUGAGUCACCAAUCAUGUUUUACAGGCUUUUGUCAAAAUUCUAAAAUUACCAUUUCCAUCCAAACAGAAAUCUCAGAAACCUCCUAUGCUGUGGUCUUUACAUUUAACGUGAUUAACAUCAGCAUGCCAGAGGACCCUGUGUCUAGAGGCAACACCAGCCAGAAAGUUCAGGAUACCAUCAAUAAUGCGCUGAACACUCUUCUGAAUGAACCUGGCAGUCCAACUUUACAACCCAAGACCUCCAACUUCACGAGCACUUCAAACCAGAUUAAUGGCAGGAUGGGAUACAGCUUCCAGAAUGGAGAUGUCAUACAACCAGUCAGCUUCCUCUAUGAGCUACGUCUACCAACCACUACAACAGUGUUUCCAGUCACAACAACCAGUGUUUCUGUUACUACUCCAAAACUCAUAUCUGGUUCAGCAGUGGUCACAAGCAAGCUGGUGUUCAACUCCUCAUCUCCAGUGCCCAGUGAAUCUCUGGUCCUCAGUGCUAUCAAUACUCUCCGUCAUUCCAGAGAGUCACAGCUCAAUGAAUCGGUGAAGAUAGUGAAUGUCACCUAUGAGAAAAUCUCCGAAACUUCCUAUGCUGUGGUCUUUACAUUUAACUUGAUUAACAUCAGCAUGCCAGAGGACCCUGUGUCUAGAGAACAAACCACCCAGCAAGUGCAGGAUACCAGCAAUAAUGCGCUGAACACUCUUUUGAAUGAACCCGGUAGUCCAAAUUUACAACCCAAUACCUCCAACUUCAAGAUCACUUCAAACCAGAUUGAAGGUAGGAUGGAAUACAACUUCCAGAAUGGAGAUGUCAUACAACCAGUCAGCUUCCUCAAUGAGCUUCGUUCACAGACAGUCUUAACGACUGCCAGCACUGUGACAACUACUCCACUGAUAGUGCGAGGCAAAGCGCUUAUAUUCAUUCGCCUCGUAUUUGUCACACUGGGCCCCCUGCCAAAUCCAGAGAAGGUUCUUGAUGUGGCCAACACUCUUCUGAAGACGCGUCUCGCAACUAAACAAGACACUACAACACAAGACCUGAGUGAUCCUGUGAGCUUUGUCAACGUCACAUAUACAAAAAUAAAUGAGACGGCCUAUGCUCUUGACUUUGGAUUUGAAAUCAGCAAUAUAACCAUGACUGAGAAGCUUGAACUCAGGAAUGGCACCCACCUGUUAAUACAAGACUCUAUAAACACAUUGCUGGGCAAGAUCCUCCUCAGUAACUCCUCAGCUCCUAUCAUUAAGUUCCAAGCAGCUGAUUUCACGGGCAAUUCCACAGUAAUUAAGGCCAAUGUAGAGUAUGUUUUCUCACCAAGUGAUAUCACGCAACCCAGCAUCUUUGUUCAGGAACUUAUCCAACUUAGCGAAGCGAGCACUACAACUUCCCCACCAAACUUGAUUAAGAGGGCGAUUAUUAAGAUCCGUCUCGAGUUUAUCACACUUGGAACAAGACCAAGUGAGAGUGAUGUUCUUCAGGUGGUUAAAUCUGUGGUGGCCACAAAUCUCACAACUAAACUAACCACGAGAGUAACAAUCAUGAGUGAACCUGUGACCUUGGAGAAUGUUGAGUAUUUGGGAAUUAAUGACACCGCCUACGCACUCAUUUUUACAUUUGAAAUGAACAAAGUAUCACUGACAGCGACACAAAGUCAAGAAGCCUAUAACGAAAUCCAAAAGAAGAUAAAUUAUUUGGUGUUCCAGAUACUAAAGGACCCCUCGGUUAAUCUGUCCAUCCCAGCCAAUUUCACGGAGAGUGACGUUUUGAUUGUGGCCAAUGUUACGUAUGUUUUCUCACAAAAUAACAACAACACGGCCUCCGGGUUCUUGGUCAGUGCCCUUUUCAAGGCUUUUACUACACCAGCUCCAACCACCAUAAGCACUACAACCUCCAACAAUGGUACAAAUGCAGCUUGGGUUGUGGCUAUUAUUGUCCCCUGUGCUAUUAUCCUCGGGCUUGUUCCUUGCUGGAUUCUCCUUUGCUGUUUGCUGUGUGGUUGCUGUGCGGCAAUCAGAAGACGUUGGCACAGAAGACAGUCGUACAACGUGCAGUACACCACUCGAAACAGUCUCUUCUAG